AGCAGCCGCGGUAAUUCCAGCUCCAAUAGCGUAUAUUAAAGUUGUUGCAGUUAAAAAGCUCGUAGUUGAAUUUCGGGGUCAGUAGAUUGGUCGUGCCACUGGUAUGCACUGGUCUUACUGGCUCCUCCUUCCUGAUGAACCGUAAUGCCAUUAAUUUGGUGUUGCGGGGAGACUGGACUGUUACUUUGAAAAAUUAGAGUGUUUAAAGCAGGCUAACGCUUGAAUACAUUAGCAUGGAAUAAUGAAAUAGGACGUUCGAUCUUAUUUUGUUGGUUUCUAAGAUUGACGUAAUGAUUAAUAGGGAUAGUUGGGGGCAUUAGUAUUCAAUUGUCAGAGGUGAAAUUCUUGGAUUUAUUGAAGACUAACUACUGCGAAAGCAUUUGCCAAGGAUGUUUUCAUUAAUCAAGAACGAAAGUUAGGGGAUCGAAGACGAUCAGAUACCGUCGUAGU
rnacentral:rRNA from 1 species